CAAAUACUCCCUCCGUCCGGAAAUACUUGUCAUCAAAAUGGAUAAAAAGAAAUGUAUCUAGACGUAUUUUAGUUUUAGAUACAUCUCUUUUUAUCCAUUUUGAUGACAAGUAUUUUCGGAUGGAGGGAGUAGAAA
rnacentral:pre_miRNA from 1 species